rnacentral:rRNA from 1 species
GGAAUUUUCCGCAAUGGGCGAAAGCCUGACGGAGCAAUACCGCGUGAGGGAUGACGGCCUGUGGGUUGUAAACCUCUUUUCUCAAGGAAGAAGUUCUGACGGUACUUGAGGAAUAAGCAUCGGCUAACUCUGUGCCAGCAGCCGCGGUAAUACAGAGGAUGCAAGCGUUAUCCGGAAUCACUGGGCAUAAAGCGUCUGUAGGUGGUUUGGUAAGUCUGCUGUUAAAGACUGGGGCUCAACCCCAGAAAAGCAGUGGAAACUGCCAGACUUGAGUAUGGUAGAGGUAGAGGGAAUUCCUAGUGUAGCGGUGAAAUGCGUAGAUAUUAGGAAGAACACCAAUGGCGAAGGCACUCUACUGGGCCAUAACUGACACUCAGAGACGACAGCUAGGGGAGCAAAUGGGAUUAGAUACCCCAGUAGUC